rnacentral:lncRNA from 1 species
GGGGUUAAGGAACGUGGGUUCCUCGUCCUCCUUGGGUAGGACGGCUAUGAUUCAGGAAUGUGAUUCCUCGUCCUGGUGGACGGAUAACUCGUACUAGACUAAAACUCUAUCACGAAGUCCCUCCUUUUUAUAUCGACUUAAUCGCCGGGCCAAUGGCGAGCGGGUCAUUAGUUAGAUAGCGCUAUUUAGGUCUGACAAACCUCACACCGUGCCGCAGAGGACGGGCGUGAACUAAUGGAUCUGGGGCACGUCAAUGAUGAUAGACAUUGAUGUUUUCAGGGCACAUAAACAUGACUACAGUCAGCAGUCGAUAUGGUAACGAGUCUAGUGUACGCAUGGGGUAGCCCCCUACGGCCGAAAUGCCUGAUAACUAACAUGGGGUAGCCCCCACGGCUGGAGUGCCGGAGUAACUAGGAAUGAACAAGUCACGUUUUAAACUAUGGGGUAACCCCCACGGCAGGAUGCCAGAUAAAGGAAACUGUUUUCGAAACAACUAAAACGAACACCCAACCGUGAACUCACUCAACUAGUUGUUGACUCGUUACUACAUGCUUUGCAGGACCAUAGGUACUCAGCUGGAGCUUGCAUGGAGGAGAGUCGUUGUGGGACACGGAUUGCUGCUAUGA